rnacentral:lncRNA from 1 species
GACUACAAAACUGAUGACAAGUAUGUCUUAUCAUAUAUGAUUUGCAUAUUUAUUGUCUCAUAGAUAACACGAUGCCAUCCGAGGACCAACCCCACACGACAACGUAACUUCUACCAAAAGGAGUCAGACUAAUUAUGCCGUGGGCGCAAAUUUAAAAACUUCACACUUAUUGUUUGGUUCGCAAAGUUGUACGAUUAUUCUCAACGGUUGCGACCCUCCGGCAAAACUACGAAUCCAUCCAUGGCCAGGUCAAGCGAACCUACCAAUGAUCAACGGAAAGACGAAAAAAAUUCAGUUAUCAAGGCCAGAAAGUUCAGAAAGAUGCCUCAGAAUACUCAGAGGACAAUAAUUACACGGAGGAAGAUAUGCAAUUCGAGCCAGAUCAAGGUCACGAAGGUGGUGAUAUGGGUUACGCAGGAGAGGAGGAGGAACUUGAAUUAGAGGAACCGGAGGAGGAGACGGAGGAAGAGGACGAUGAUGACGAUCUUGGUGGUGGUGGUGGUGGUGGUGGUGGUGGAUACAUGCGCCCUAUUGCAAUGAACAUGGGCGCCCUAAUGACGAAACCCAGCAUGGAGCCGCAGAAAAUCCCCAACUCAGGGUCGGUGAGCCUCAAGAAAGAACCAUCCUCAAUGAUGUCUGGCAUGAGUUGGCCCAUGAGACCCAUGCAGAUGAUGCCUCUUAUGGGAGCCCCCAAUGGAGGCGAAAUGAUGAUGCCUCUAAAAAGUGGUGACGAAGACGACGGUGGCCAAAACAUGGUGCCUAUGAUGAUGAUGAUGAUGCCAUCCUCCGAUUCAUCGCACCACGACAAGCAUAAACACAAGGACAAGCAUAAGCACAAAAAGAAGAAGAAGAAAAAGAAGCAUAAGAAGAAA